AUUGAACGCUGGCGGCAGGCCUAACACAUGCAAGUCGAGCGGAUGAAGGGAGCUUGCUCCUGGAUUCAGCGGCGGACGGGUGAGUAAUGCCUAGGAAUCUGCCUGGUAGUGGGGGAUAACGUCCGGAAACGGGCGCUAAUACCGCAUACGUCCUGAGGGAGAAAGUGGGGGAUCUUCGGACCUCACGCUAUCAGAUGAGCCUAGGUCGGAUUAGCUAGUUGGUGGGGUAAAGGCCUACCAAGGCGACGAUCCGUAACUGGUCUGAGAGGAUGAUCAGUCACACUGGAACUGAGACACGGUCCAGACUCUUACGGGGGGCAGCAGUGGGGAAUAUUGGAAAAUGGGCGAAAGCCUGAUCCAGCCAUGCCGCGUGGGUGAAGAAGGGCUUCGGAUUGUAAAGCACUUUAAGUUGGGAGGAAGGGCAGUAAGUUAAUACCUUGCUGUUUGGACGUUACCAACAGAAUAAGCACCGGCUAACUUCGU
rnacentral:rRNA from 1 species